rnacentral:rRNA from 1 species
CCUACGGGUGGCUGCAGUGGGGAAUAUUGGACAAUGGGGGGAACCCUGAUCCAGCGACGCCGCGUGAGUGAAGAAGUAUUUCGGUAUGUAAAGUUCUAUCAGCAGGGAAGAAAGAAAUUACGGUACCUGACUAAGAAGCCCCGGCUAACUACGUGCCAGCAGCCGCGGUAAUACGUAGGGGGCAAGCGUUAUACGGAUGUACUGGGUGUAAAGGGAGCGUAGACGGUUACGCAAGUCUUGAGUGAAAGUCGGGGGCGCAACCCCCGGACUGCUUUGGAAACUGUAUAACUGGAGUGCAGGAGAGGUAAGUGGAAUUCCUGGUGUAGCGGUGAAAUGCGUAGAGAUUAGGAGGAACACCAGUGGCGAAGGCGGCUUACUGGACUGUAACUGACGUUGAGGCUCGAAAGCGUGGGGAGCAAACAGGAUUAGAUACCCCUGUAGUC